CUUAUUAAUUAUACGUAAUACAUAUAAUUAUUUCAAAUGUUGUGCUCCAACAGCCUUAACAUAAAUAAUUUUUAUACAAUAAAAAUAUAGCAUUACUUUACUGUAGUUUAUUAUUUGGAGACUUGCAUGGUUUAAAUGAUACAUCUAGAUUUUCUCAAACCAGAAUCUGUUCUGACCAUUUUGAUUCUACUUGUUAUUUAUGUAAUACAAACCGAUAAAAAUUAAAUGCGGCUCCAAAAAUUCCCACUUCUGUUGAAAUCAACAAAUGAGACAAUUAUUGAGGUACCAAAAUGUGCUACUCCUCAACCUUUUGAACAUAUAUCUGAUAUUACAAACAAUUCUUUUUUAAGUCCAGUUGAAUUAUUUCCAAGAAUACUUACUUAGGUGUUCAAAAAACUGUUCAAUAUGACAUCAGAUAUUUCUU